AGAGGUCACGCACAGAGCUGACCCGGAAAAAGAUUUGAACCACGUUGUUUUGUUUUUGUCAGCGCCAGCUAGCCAACAUUUCGCUUUGAAUCCCCUAACUAAUCAUUCUUCAGCCAUUGGGAAGUAAUUUGCUAAUUGUAAGUGCAUGAAAUAUUUUCCAUCCCGCAUCGAAGUUAAAUAUAUAAAAAAGUGGGUGGCUAAAUAUUUGUUCAAGCCUAGCCUUCCUCACAAACUGAAGUCAACAGAUUAUUUCGGAUUGAAAUCUCAGUUAAGCAAUGUCCAGUGUAUGGUCAAGUGUUUGUUUGUGUGGGGCAGAGAGUAUGGGAAGAAAUCUACAGUAGCUAGUUUAGCUAGCUAACAGUUGGUUGCAGAUGUUCCAGAUACAUUUGAUUUCCAUUGUUCCAUUUAUGCCUUUACAUAGGACUUUUUAUUCGUCUCUCAUUAUUUCCCCACUGAAAGAUAUUGUAGCGAACGGAGGCAAACUCGGGUCGCAGGAGUAAAAGGCAAACACCCAACGCAUCGCUCCAUUUAAACUGGGUUAACCCACUUGUUGGGAAUAAUAUUGUAUAUUAUAAACUGGGUGGUUCGAGCCCUGAAUUCUAAUUGCCUGACAGCCGUAGUAUAUCAGAACGUAUACCACGGGUAUGACAAAACACUUAUUUUUACUGCUCGAAUUACGUUGGUAAACAGUUUUAUAAUAGCAAUAAGGCACCGCUGGGGUUUGUGAUAUAUGGCCAAUAUACCACGGCUAAGGGCUGUGUCCAGGUACUCCGUUUUGCGUGUUGCAUAAGAACAGCCCAUGGCCGUGGUAUAUUGACCAUAUACGACACCCCUUCGGGCCUUAUUGCUAAAAUAUAAUUAACUAAAAUUGCUACACUGCCUCCUCCGAACGCGAACGAAUGUCCCGUGCUUCGACCAUAUAUUUUGUCUUGUGUAAAAUCACAGCUCUAAUGUAUCAUAUAACAGAUAUAACCAUUGUCUGGCUUUUGUGUUGUUAAAACCUUUCUCAUGGACUGUUGAUGGGAGAUGAUCGUGUGAAGAAUGGUCUCAACUUCAUGUAUGAAGCUCCAUCUGGGCCAGACAAAGGAAGGAGAAUCAGAAUACAAGUUUGAGUGGCAAAAGACGUCCCCUCGAGAAGUGCGCAAUGUGAGAUGCAUCAUGUGUCACAAAUAGGGCCAUGUGAACAGUGGCCUGUCUGGGAUCAAUGCCAGCGCUGCGCCCACAGGGAAAGCAGGUACAAAUAACAAUCUGACCUACCUGGAUGAAUAGAGGAAAAAAGUCGAAUGGUCCGUCGAUGCACCCCUCCGAGUUAAUGGCAGAGAUGUGAAACAGUGGGUUUGCCCUGAAGAAAUGUGUCCUUGGAAGAAAUUCUACUGUUUGUGAUCCAUCGCAGGAGUAUGUUGUCAAUGAAGAAGAGGAGGAUCCUGAGGUUGAAUUCCUGAAGUCGUUGACCACUAAACAGAAAGAGAAGCUCCUCAGAUAGGAGAGCACUACCAUUCAUACGUUUAGUUGUUUUGAAUAUAAUAUGCUUAUUGUAAAAUAAGACAAAAGAUGAUUCUUGCAAAAAAAUAAACAUGAACUACGAAUAUAACAAAUUGUUUUCAUUUUAAAGGAAACUUGACCGUCUACAAAAGAAGAGUGAAGGGAAUCAGAAGAAGAACUGUGAUAGUAGUGACAGCUCUAGUGAAAGUAGCAGCAGUGACUCAGACUGACAGCUCUAGUGAAAGUAGCAGCAGUGACUCAGACUGACAGCUCUAGUGAAAGUAGCAGCAGUGACUGACUGACAGCUCUAGUGAAAGUAGCAGCAGUGACUGACUGACAGCUUCAGUGAAAGUAGCAGCAGUGACUGACUGACAGCUCCAGUGAAAGUAGCAGCAGCAGUGACUGACUGACAGCUCCAGUGAAAGUAGCAGCAGUGACUGACUGACAGCUCCAGUGAAAGUAGCAGCAGCAGUGACUGACUGACAGCUCUAGUGAAAGCAGCAGCAGUGACUGACUGACAGCUCCAGUGAAAGUAGCAGCAGCAGUGACUAAGAGUCAGAAGAGAAAGAAGAAGGGCAAGAGAAAGGACUCCUGUCGUGAUGACAACACUGAGAGUGAUGGAUGAGUCAAGAGUAAGACCAGGCCCAACCUCCAGACAGAAACAGCACAAAGAUGAUACCAGAGAGAAGAAGGAAACAGUAGAGAUGAGACACGACAGCAGGGAGAGGCAGAGAACCAGCAGCAGCUCUCAGCCUGGCCCAGACAGAAGCAGAAGGAGAGAGAUAUAAAGACAAGGUUCACAGUAGAGAUGAGGCAAACGGUAGAAGAGAGAUGGAUAGAAGUAGUAGCAGAGAUGGAGCAAAGAAUAAAGCAGCCGCAAAGCGAGGAGUAGGAUCCUCUAUGGAGGGAGGGAGAGAGAGGGGAGGCAAAGGGAGGAGUAGGAUCCUAGAUGGAGGGAGGGGAGGCAAAGGGAGGAGUAGGAUCCUCUAUGGAGGGAGGGAGAGAGAGGGGAGGCAAAGGGAGGAGUAGGAUCCUAGAUGGAGGGAGGGGGAGAGAGGGGAGGCAAAGGGAGGAGUAGGAUCCUAGAUGGAGGGAGGGGAGAGAGGGGAGGCAAAGGGAGGAGUAGGAUCCUAGAUGGGGAGAGAGUGGAGGCAAAGGCAGGAGCAGAGGGAGGGAGAAUGAGAAAAGAGCCAGAGGGAGAUCUGAGAAAAAGCACUGAACUGUGAGAGUAGACAAUCUUACAAAGUGGGCCAGUGAUACCAUUUUAUUUUGCUGAUGUAAACAUUUUUGACACGAAAGUGUAAUGUUUUGAAGGUUUUAUGAUGCUAUUGUUAAUAUGUACAUUUUUCUUGGUGGGCCCACUUAUUAAACAAACACAUAGAAACCAAAGUUUUAGUAACACCAUGUUUUGGUGUUGCUUGCUAGUUGGCUGCCACGGUAAAGUGAGUGCAGGGGCGUAUUCAUUAUGCCGAUUCUGUUGCAAAAUGUUGAGCAGAAGCAAACGGAAUGAAACGGGAAGGGGCCUAGCUGAAUUUGACCAAUAGAAGUUGUUUAAAAUGUUCCAUUUUGCUACUGUUAGGACUAGUGAUUACACCCCUGCUCCUCAAAUAGUUCUUAUUUUCAUCCACUAGAGGGCAGCAGUAGAUCUAAAAUAACUUGAACCACAGAAAUAUUUUGCAUUUCUCAGAUUAUUGAACAAAUGAAUGUCUUGCAUGCACUAUUAUUCAUGGUUGUCACUUUAGUCCAGAGAACCCUCUUUACAAUACUAUAAAAAAAUAUUAUUGCAACUCGAACUUUAAAAAUAGUAAACUGCUCACAUGGUUGUGACCGUUCUUCAUUACAUGUGUUACAAGUCUAGCUUAAUUAUGUAGGCUUGUUUCAAAGUGGUCUUCUGGAAGUGGCCUAAGCGGGAGCAUGGUUGACUAAUGACAAUCAAUCUAUGAUUGUUCAUUAUGCCAUGCAUACGAUUAGGUCUGCGUAAGUGAUUAGUGUGGAGACAUCAAGUUUGUUUCAAAUAUUUAAUAAUGAAUACUUAAUUCUGAAUCGAGAUCAAUGCAUGGAACUGUACUCUUUCUGCAAAACCCAGUGCAUGAUUUACGCAACAUUGCGCGCCUAUCGGCCUUUAGAGAUUACUUGUUGCAUUACUUGCAUGACAUUAUCAUCAUGAUGGACAAAACAGAAGAAACGAUGAGGUCAUCGGGGUUCAUUUGACAUAUUGAACUGUGUAACAUACGACUUCCUAUUUGUUUAGGAGCCAUAUAUUUUGUUGCAAAGAAAAUAUAUCAUAUAUGUCGAUAUGAUUUGUUAUUAAGAAUUCCUGAUCAGGAAAAUUAAAAUAGAGAAUUUCUUUCAUGUUUUAUUUUAUUUCAGUCGCUUCAGAUUUGUAUGUUCUGUAUAGACAGACCAUUUAACCUUUUGCAAUGAUGCAGCGAGGUGUGCACCUAAAUACUGUAGACCUAUGCCAAUUGUUUUGAUUCAUUGUUAUUUUAUCAUUAUCACAAUACAAGUAUUUUUUGUGACCUUC